GCGGGAUAGCACAGUGGUAGUGCAUCGGAAUCAUAAUCCGCUGGUCGGGGGUUCGAAUCCCUCUCCCGCC
rnacentral:tRNA from 1 species